rnacentral:rRNA from 1 species
CGUGAGCGAAGAAGGCCUUCGGGUCGUAAAGCUCUGUUGUUAGGGAAGAACAAGUACGAGAGUAACUGCUCGACCUUGACGGUACCUAACCAGAAAGCCACGGCUAACUACGCGCCAGCAGCCGCGGUAAUACGUAGGUGGCAAGCGUUGUCCGGAAUUAUUGGGCGUAAAGCGCGCGCAGGCGGUCCUUUAAGUCUGAUGUGAAAGCCCACGGCUCAACCGUGGAGGGUCAUUGGAAACUGGGGGACUUGAGUGCAGAAGAGGAGAGUGGAAUUCCACGUGUAGCGGUGAAAUGCGUAGAGAUGUGGAGGAACACCAGUGGCGAAGGCGACUCUCUGGUCUGUAACUGACGCUGAGGCGCGAAAGCGUGGGGAGCAAACAGGAUUAGAUAUCCUGGUAGUCCACGCCGUAAACGAUGAGUGCUAAGUGUUAGAGGGUUUCCGCCCUUUAGUGCUGCAGCUAACGCAUUAAGCACUCCGCCUGGGGAGUACGGCCGCAAGGCUG